UUUCUUUUCAAUUAUUGUGAGAGUGUGACUUGGGUGUAUUUGGGAUUUGGGUUGUGAGAGUUAAACUCUGUAAUUCCUAGGGUAGGUGAGAGGGUUAAUCUCCUUUGGUUGUAAUCUCUUUUGGGAUACUAGUGGAAUUUCUCGCUGUCUUCGAACUGGAUGUAGGCUACACACGGGCCGAACCAGUAUAAAUCCUUGUGUCGUUUGGAUUUCUGUAUUUCAUAGUUUGCUCUUGUUGUUUCAAUGGUUUCAUAUCAACCACCACAGUGCAAUCCGCUUCCGCUGCGCACAACAAGUGGUAUCAGAGCUCCAGUUCUUCGAUCUGGUGGAGUUUUGUGUUUGUGAUGAUGAAACCAGGAGACUUGUUGAGAAAAUAUGAAAUUAUUUUGACAGGAGAAAAAUUCCAGACUUUGGUGUUGAAGAUGAGAGCCUUGUUAGUGCAACAGGGGCUGCUCAAGAGGCACUAAAGGGUAUCUAAGCAUGGCCAGCAACGUGUUCCAACGAUGGAGAAGGAUGAUGUCUUGAAUCGGGCACUCACUGCGAUUGGAUUGCAGUUAGCGGACGGUGUUCUUCGUGAGGUUGCCGAUGAGACUGCACAUGCUGGGCUAUGGCUGAAAUGGUGGAGAAUACAUAUAUGACCAAAUCAUUUCCAAUCGGUUGUAUGCCAAACAACGAUUGUACACUCAGUGGUAUGGCGGAAGGUACACUUAGUCAAAACUAUCUUGUUGAGUUCAAUAAGAUUUUCAUGAAUGUGUAGGUCAUGAAUAUGAAAAUAGGAUGAUAAGGAUCAGGCAGUAAUGGAGGAAAAUCGCGUUCCAAGGUGAAUGUUCAGGAGGACAAAUGCAACUUUGCCACAAGGACGGGCAUUUGAGAUUUGAUUGCCCAUCAGUCAAAGAAAGAAAAAGAGUCUAAUAAUUCCUCUUGCAGGUGCUUUUGUGGAUGUCGUAGGGAGGAUAAAAUUUAUGUUCCUCCUAUGAUCGAUGAUUCCGGUGUGCCGUGCUUGGGGUGUGAUUUUUUACUUGUCUUUGGUGACUUUUGAAAUUUUCUUUACGGUGGAGUUUCAAGAGUUUUCGUGGGUGUUCCUUGUGGGUAGUGUGUAGUUUGUUGCUUUGAUUUUCUCUAUGUACUUUGGGUAGCAUUGUUUAUGGCUACAUGGGUUUUUCCUUUCAUCAUUAGAUUUUCAAGUGAGGGUUUUUUGAUUGUAAGGGGUUAUCUUUCGGGAGGAUGAUUCCCUCCUAUGACAGCUGAAAUUGUUCGUUCUGCUACUUGGUCGCCCGGGCUAUGCGUGUAUUGUAGCAGAAGAAGCUUGAGGUUCAAGCGUUUAAGGUUUGUGCGGUUUAUGCACGUACAUUCAGCUGGUGUGGCUUGGUUAUGAGGAUGACAUUGAAGAGGUUCUUCUGUUGGGGUCAUCCGGUUCGAUUGAAGCACACAUUUUCGGUUGCAAGUUCAAGGAGUGCUUGAGCUUGAUUUGGUAAGAGGAAGAUGAGCGAUAGAAAGUUCUACUAUGGCUUGGUAAAUUUGUGCCAAGGUGGAGAUUGUUGAAAUUGGCUCAAAUAUUAUGUUGUUUACUAUCUUUGUUGCGUUGCAUGUCAUCCACUUGGAGAAAGGAAGAGAUUGGUUCUUUCCUUUCUCAUGCAUUUGCCGAAAGCUACCAAAGGAAGAGAAAAAUGGGAAGCCACAAUUGUUGAAUGUUAGUGGCCAAUGAUAUUGCAUGGA